GAGUGCUAUCAUACUAGAGUGAAUGCAUUGAAUCCCAUCAGAACUCUGCAGUUAAGUGCGCUUGGGCUAGAGUAGUACUGGGAUGGGUGACCUCCCAGGAAGUACUAGUGUUGCACCCU
rnacentral:rRNA from 1 species